GACGAACGCUGGCGGCGUGCUUAACACAUGCAAGUCGAACGAUGAUGCUGGAGCUUGCUCCAGUUGAUUAGUUGCGAACGGGUGAGUAACACGUGAGCAAUCUGCCCUUGACUCUGGGAUAACUGCGGGAAACUGUAGCUAAUACCGGAUACUUUCACCGGAAGGCAUCUUCUGGUGAUGAAAGAAUUUCGGUCAGGGAUGAGCUCGCGGCCUAUCAGCUUGUUGGUGAGGUAACGGCUCACCAAGGCGACGACGGGUAACCGGCCUGAGAGGGUGACCGGUCACACUGGGACUGAGACACUGACCAGACUCCUACGGGAGGCAGCAGUGGGGAAUAUUGCACAAUGGGCGCAAGCCUGAUGCAGCAACGCCGCGUGAGGGAUGAAGGCCUUCGGGUUGUAAACCUCUUUUAGCAGGGAAGAAGCGAAAGUGACGGUACCUGCAGAAAAAGCACCGGCUAACUACGUGCCAGCCGCCGCAGUAA
rnacentral:rRNA from 1 species